ACACGCAUGACACACUGCAUAUCAAUAAGCGGAGGAAAAGAAACUAACUAAGGAUUCCCCUUAGUAACGGCGAGUGAAGCGGGAAGAGCUCAAAUUUGAAAUCUUCAAGGGUUCUACCUUUACGAAUUGUAGUUUAAAGAAGUGUUUUCUGUUGGAGUUUCGGUAAAAGUUCUUUGGAAUAGGACAUCAUAGAGGGUGAGAAUCCCGUAUUUGACCGUUACUUUCCAGCUGUGUGAUACACUUUCAAAGAGUCGGAUUGUUUGGGAAUGCAGUCCAAGAUGGGUGGAUAAAUUUCAUCUAAAGCUAAAUAUUGGCGAGAGACCGAUAGCGAACAAGUACCGUGAGGGAAAGAUGAAAAGAACUUUGAAAAGAGAGUUAAACAGUACGUGAAAUUGUCAAAAGGGAAGCGUUUGACACCAGUGUUGUUUUUCCGAAAAUCAAUUAAAAAUUGAUUCAUGCCAGGUUGUAUUGACCUUAUCAGCUUGCAAUUUGGUUUUGGGUCUCUUUUUGAUGCACUUUUCGGUCAACAAGUCAACAUCAAUUUCCUUUGCUGUAAAAAGGUAAGAGGAAGGUGGCUUCAAUUUCGGUUGAAGUGUUUAUAGCCUUUUAUCUCUGCAGUCGGGGAGAUUGAGGUCUGCAGCGUAGAUCCUUCGGGGCUAGAUACAUUUAUGCUAAGUUAUAGCUUUUCAUAGACAACUUGUUGACUAUGUUUAGUCAUGUAGCUUACUCGUAAGUGCUAUUUUACCUACGCUUAGGAUGUUGAGCGCAUGUCUCUCUCU
rnacentral:rRNA from 1 species